CCGCCUGCACCUCUGUUCUUCAUCCUCCUUCGACGUGUGCCUCUGUUCUUCCUCCGCCUGCGCCGCCUGCUACCAGACCAGGAUGAACUGCCAAAGUAGGUACGAAGGUGACGAUCUUGCGCUUUAAUCAAAUUUCAGUAUUUUCGGUCUGAUUUCAGGCGGAUUUCUAGAUUAAAGCAUUCAGCAAAUAUGUUUCUCUCCGCCUUCGCGGACGGCCAACCUUGACUCCCGUUCAGGCCGUCCAGUGGGCUCUGUUCAACGGAAUCGGCAAAAGGGCACCAGGCCCAUCCGGAUCGGAAGACCGGUUCUCCUUCCACACGGGUUAAUUGUAUCUCCUGCCGCCCGUAACCGUGGAUUGAUGACGCUGGUACCGUCGUAAUCAUGGAUUGAUGACGCUGCGAACAUCUUUCCUCACUACACCCAUCUCACAUUGGACAUCUCAUUAGUCAUCCGACAUGCUGGUUGCUUAGGGAUUGUUGUCGUCGUAUUUUCCAGAUUAUUAUUCACGGAUUCGUCUGACCAGUGUGACCUUCAUUAUUAUUUCACAAUGGCUGCUGGACAGGAUAUGCCUCUGUAGAAAAGAUGACAAAGCGUUCUCGAGCACGAACUCAAUUGAACGAUCCCGUCCAACCACGUUUUUUCGCGGCUCAAGUAGUUCUGGGCCCCAAAGUAAGAGGGCAAGGAUUAAUGAACCAAUUGCUAUGUCCAAUCCCAAUUUUCCUAGAAAAAGAAGGAUUGGCCCUCUCGGUUGUUUGGGAUUUUUUAUUUAGUAACUGCUGACACACAGUGUUUGACCUUCAUUUGUGACGAUGGUUGAUGUACAUGUACUCUCGUUUAUGCAAAUUUAGCUCUUAUUACUCAUCUGUUGUUAACCUUUCUUAUCAUUUUAUUUACAUGGCCAUCACAUUUCUGUUAGAGGGUAUUAGUAGUACUACAGAAAAGUGCCAUAUGCCUCGCUACUUAUUCUUUUCCAGAAAGAAUGGCAAGCUGAAGAAGCUGGAUGCUAUGCGGAAGAAGCAUACACAAUCUUUGCACCUCCUGAGCAGCCUAGAAAGGUGGAGUCAUCUUUUUCCACUUUGGUAAUACCAUUUUUUAUCAGUUCAUGAGUUGUAAUGGUGUUUAGCAUUACUGUAUUUUAACUCUUUAUGUUUUUAUUCGAGCUGUUCAUCCUACACUCUUAUAAUACCUUGUUAUAUUUUCCAAGAUAAGUGUAGUUCGUACCAUCUUACUUUGAUUCGUAGGAAACAACAUCCAUAGGCUAUAGGUUUCUUAUGUACUCAUGUACCGUGUGUGUAUGGAGACAGUUAGAAAUUUUCCUUUUUGCAAGUUUCUACAUAUUCUUGGAGAUACAAAUUUUCGAUUAUUGCACAUGGAUCUCUUGGAAUUCUAGCUCCAAUUGUUAGGUUUUAACAUUCUAAAUUUAAUCUGUGGACCAUUCUUUCCCUUUUAUUUGCGUUCUUUGGUAAAAAAAAUGAAGAUUUCCUGCUUGUGUUAUUUGGUAAUGACUUCUAGAUCAGUAAGAUGAUUACCUCAUCCUAUCCCUUUGUCUAAAGGUGCUCUUAACCCCUGACCACCCAGAUUGCCCUCUGCUUCCUAGGUACAUAGAGAAUCAUUCACAUCUUGCUUAAGGGUUUAUGUAAAUCCUUCUGUAACUCUGUAAGGGUAUAAUAACCUGAUGGAGAAUUACAAGCAACAUGUGGUCAAGCUACAGGGAAAACAGAAGGUUAUUCUUGUGGUGCUGGCCUUUAAGUGUCGAUGAGACCUCCCAUUGUUGCUCAUCGGUGAAUGUGGUCAUCCAAAGAGACUAAGCUUCAUUAUGUUCCGUCAGAUAAAGAGAGGGAGACCUUUAAAUCUUCUCAUGCUUGUGGACUGACUAUCGAUCAAGGAUCAUUGCGGUGGUGGCCACGGUGACGGGGAGAAUGAUCCUCCCUAACAGUUCUUCAAUUCCUCAUCAGCGCUUCGCCCAAUGGACGCUAUGUAUCCGAUCUGCCCGCGCCCGCUCCUCCCGUAUAGAUGAGCCACAUCGUUCUACCGUUCCGCAUCCCCCAGUAUGCAAGCGAUCCUGAGCUUGCUGGUUAACUCUAUGAUCUUUGAGAACAUGUUUGAUCACAUCACCUUCAGUAGAUCAGCAUCUGCACAUGAAUUCAAUGGGCUGGAGCACUUGUCCUUGAUUUAAUUGACCAGAGCCCUCGGCUGGCACUGCUCCCAAAAUUAGAGGUAUAUCUAAGGUAAUGAUUCUGGGUAUGUGCUUUAUAGGAUACAAACAUCUUGGUACUAUCGCCCAUGUUCUUCAUGCCUGAUGUAUGGGGGCGAUGGCCUUGACAUCAGAUUAUAAUUAUAAAUAUAUAUGUUGUUUGUUGUAAAAAAAAUGCAGUGUAUUCAGAGACAGAUUGUAUUGCGGUAUGGUUUACCCCUAAUGUGUACCUUUUCUUUGUUAGCUCUCCGUUGGUAGACAUGUAUGAUUAUCUGAUCUCUAAACUGUUUCAUCUGACUUUCUAAUUAUAUGUGACAUAUAUCAAGUGUGCUUUGACAGACAUAUUAUAGAAACUUCAACAUCUAAAUUCUUUAGAAUAUAGUUUUAUAUCGGUUCAUAUCUGAUCAUACCUUUUUUAUCUUUUACAUAAGAAAUCUUUGCCUUGUCCAGCCACUGAAACAUUUGAGUUGAUAGUUCAUUUUGCCUAAUGCUUGUGGGGAACAUUUUGAUCUAUUUCACCCGUGAGAUAUAUUAGUUGAUACUAUGCAAUUUAAUAUGGAUGUCUCAGUUGUAUCUUAGAAAACUUCUUCAGGGCUUAAUAUUGUUUCUCACUUUUGUUGUUGGGUUUCCAAGGUGCUCUGGGGAUUUGUAGACUUAUAUGGUAAAGCCUCUGAAUGUUUUCUUCAAUAUGUGAACUUUAUUGUGCAGCUUGUAUUUCUUAACUCCUAUAGUUACUGUCAUCUAUCAUAAAACUAAAUUUAUUUCAUACUACCUCAUUGUCAUGAGGUGGCAGGAACAGGGUCUGCUGUUGUGACGUGGCUACAGGAAGGCAGCAGAACAUAAUAUGGCCUUUCUUUCGCCAAAAUCAAGUAAAGCCCCGGCCCAAGAAAUGCAGCAAAGCAAGUCGUCUUUGGUUUGGAGCGAAAUUCCCGGAUGUGUUGCAUUUCAUUUUAUCAUGGUGUGCUCCCAUGAUGUACACAUGUCCACCACAAUGACCACCGAGACGGCUGCAAAAAGACCAUCUCUCGAAGUCUUUAAAUGGUGUUGUGUUACCUUUUUUCCAGAUAGCACAACAUUUGCACUUUAUUGUGUCAAAAUAAGAACACAUUGUUAUAAAAAAUUGGACAUUGUUUCGAGUUCACAUGUACUCCUCCCUGAGUGUUUGAUUUUAAAUGAAAUCUGCUAGAUUGACAAUCCUCUACCUUGGUAGAACUAUAGAUUGU